UACGGAGGGAGCUAGCGUUAUUCGGAAUUACUGGGCGUAAAGCGCACGUAGGCGGAUCGUUAAGUCGGGGGUGAAAUCCUGGAGCUCAACUCCAGAACUGCCUUCGAUACUGGCGAUCUAGAGUCCGGAAGAGGUGAGUGGAACUCCUAGUGUAGAGGUGGAAUUCGUAGAUAUUAGGAAGAACACCAGUGGCGAAGGCGGCUCACUGGUCCGGUACUGACGCUGAGGUGCGAAAGCGUGGGGAGCAAACAGG
rnacentral:rRNA from 1 species